GUCCAAAGCACAAACAUAACCACACGGUGU
rnacentral:piRNA from 1 species